UACCUGCUCAAUUUAUAAAAUAUUGUUAGGCCAACCUUUUCAUGAUAUAGUAACUAUUGAUUAUUAAACAAAUGAGUUAUGACGCAUAGAUUAUCCUCUUCGCUCCGUUGUAAGUGUAUGUCUUCAAUAUUGGCAUUGACGAUAACCAUUUGCUGGAACUAAAUUGGACUACUAUCAUGGGGGUGAAGUAUGUGCAACAAGUAGAGUAUUUGUAGGUUCAAGUAAAUGUUGAAUUAUUAAUUAUUACUAAUGCAUGCAUAAUUUAGUGGUCACUCUUGCUUUGACUGGCAGAGAACUUGUAUUAUAAAAUAGAAAAAUCUCAAAUUACAUGAUACAUUGGCAUUCUAGUAUCGAUGUAUGUAACAAAGUAAAGAAUUUUUUCUACAUAAUAAAGUAAAUGGGAAAGGUAAUUGAAGUGAUAUAUUAAAAAUGAAAAUAACAUUCUAAAAUGUUUCAUGAUUGUUUUAGUUUCCUUCAAAUAGUUGUCCACUAAAAAUAUUUAGUGCCCAUUGGUGUUCACUCUUUUCAUAUUCAUCCAUAUGAGAGGCAUCGACCAUUAUGAGUUCCUUGUUGUUACUAGACAUUUUGAUCAUCUCUCUUGUCUUGUCAAUCUCAAGCUUCUCUUUGGAGAGUCGAAGCUGCACCUCUGUCAUUUUUUCUUGCGUGGAUGCUCGUAAUGCUUUCAUGUGAUGGUAUAAUUGAACAUUUUUUGUGUGUAAGUGUUACAAAAGAGUUGUCAUCUUCGACUUUUCCUUUAUUUUUCCUUUCGCCCAUUUGGUUCCACCUGGGAGAGUUUCUUUUUCCAUCUGAGUUUGUAUGUUAGCAUUACCUUUGCCUUUUCCCUCCUUGCAGUGUCUAGUCUACUUCUGGUGGACUCUAACCUUCUCCCACCGGUACAAUAGUGUAAAUUUUUAUCCUAUCUCCUUGUAUCUGGCUAGUGUUUUCUGGACAAGCUGCAAGUCACAUUGACCACUCGGAUGGGCAUCUUUUAGCCUCCAAUAAACUCAAUGAAAAGCAACAACUUUCCUAUUAGUUUUACCCCAAUGGUCCUUGAAGUUUUUGUUGUUUCUCCUCCGGUGGACGAACUGUUUUUGUUGUAGUCAUCUGUUACAUUCUUCUAGUACACCUCUCCCUUUUUGUUAUUUCCAACAAUAGAGUCUAUGGACUUAUUAAACCAAGUACUUAUGUGCAAUAAAAAAAUUUAUAUUCCUAAAUGUUUCUUGAAUAAAAAUAUUGAACUUCUUAAAUAUGGAAAUAAUGGAGUUAUUCUACGAAGCGUUAAUGUGCAUGAAAAUUUAUUAUAUUUAUACAAGUUUGUUAAAAAUAUAUGUGUGUACAAAUUACUGGAAGGAAAAAAAUAUGUGUCUACUAGUUACUUGAAGGAAAAAAAUAAAAUGUUCUAAAUAUUAAAAUGAUGUAAUUACUUAAUCAACUGCCAAUGAGCGAUAGCAUUCAUUGUAUUUCUAUUUGUUCCUAAAAUAAAAAAUGUGGAAUAGAUGGAUUUUUUUCUAGUGAAGCAUUAACAUUAAUAAGAUUUUAUUACCAAUGGCUUUAUGAUAAAUAAAAGUUUAUUCCCACAUGUUUAAAAAACUAUAGCAAUAAAAAUACUUGAUGGCUACUCACCAGUUUAAUGUUGUCCUCCUUGUCCUCCUUGGUCGAAGCUAGACGCCGACCUCGGCUAUCUUCUUCAUUGUUGUCGUCUUGGUCACUGGUACCAUUGUGUUGAAUACUCAGAGCAUAACCAUAGUCGCAAUGUCCACUAGAAUCAAAUUGUUGGGACAUAUGUGGUUGGGAAGACAAAUUUAUUGGAUAAUUAGGAGGUGGAUACAUCUCUGGAUUUUCAUACUAGAAGCUAGCAAAAGCGAACCAGUCGUUCUGAAAGGGAUUCAUUGGAAAACCGUGAUGUGUAUGAACAAAAAAUUGUGUGAGAUAUGCAAGGAUUGUGUUGUGUAUGAGCAGAUAAUUUUGGGACAUGCAUACAACUGGAACAUGCAAGUAGGAAUAUAUAUAUAGCAAUAUAGUUUCGCUCCAUGCUUUAGUUAGUCCGAUUUAGCUGUGUAUGACCGAACGAAUGGUUGAAGUAACUUGACAUACCUUGUUUUUAACUUCGUACUCACCAUGCUUUAAGGUUUGAAGAUUGCGAUUUUCGUCCCUAUUGACCCAGCUUGGCAUUCACAUGCAUUUCAUUUUUAAACAUUCAUUUUUUAUCAAUUCAGGUUUUUAUAGAAUAUUGUUGUGCGUGAAGAGAAAAGAAACAAAUCAUUAUGUCUACCUGCGAAAGGAAAUCGGCUGAGUUGUUGAGUAAAGCUUGUCUAGUUCAGCGAUCAUCUGAGCACAGAUUGGAGCGGAGAGAGGUUGUCGCAAAAAAAAGAGCCGAAGCACCCCGCCACAAGCUCCGCGUCCAUGCCAACCCAAAUCCUGGGAUCGGGCCUGAUCCCAGGAUUUGGGUUGGCAUCGAUGUCGAGCCUGUCGCGGGGCGCUCCGCCUCUUUUCUUUGCGCCAGCCUUUUUCUCCGCUCCAAUCUGGCAGCGAGCGUUACCUGGAGCUCUACAAAUCAGUAAGUCUCGUAAACUGCUCAACUAUACCAGCUCUACUCAAGUAACUCGGUUGAUUUCUUUGGCAGCUAGACAUAAAGAUCGGUUUCUUUUCUCUUCACACACAACAAUAUUCUAUAAUAAAUAUAGAGCUUGUUUAUUUAUUUUAAUUCUCCAUGACACCUGAAUACUUAGAUAAAACUGAAUUGAUAAAAAGUAAAUGUUUAAAAAUAAAAUGCAUGUGAAUGCCAAGCUGGGUCACUAGGGACAAAAAUCACAAUCUUCAAACCUGAAAGCACGGUGAGUAUGAAGUUAGGAAAAAAAGUAUGUCAAGUUACUUCAACCAUUUGUUCAAUCAUACACGGCUAAAUCGGACUAACUAAAUCAUGCAUGCAGUCAAGCUAUCUCACUAUAUAUAUUCCAACUUGCAGGUUCGAGUGGUAUGCACAUCCCAAAAUUAUCUGCUCAUACACAACACAAUUCUACUCAUAUCUCACACAAGUUUUUGUUCAUACAGAUCACGGUUUUCCAACGAAUCCCUUCCAGAACGACAGGUUCGCUUCCGCUAACUCCCAGUAUGAAAAUCCAGAGAUGUGUCCACCUCCUAAUUAUCCAAUAAAUUUGUCUUCGCAACCACAUAUGUCCAAACAAUUUGAUUCUAGUGGAUAUUGUGACUAUGGUUAUGCUCUAAGUAUGCAACACAAUGCUACCGAUGGCCAAAACGACGACGAUGAUGAAGAUAGCCGAGGCUGGUGUCUAGCUUCGACCGAGGAGGACAACAUCAGACUGGUGACUAGUCAUCAAGUAUUUUUAUUGUUAUAGUUUUUAAACAUGUGAAAAUAAGUUUUAUUUAUCACAAAGCCAUUGGUAAUAAAAUCUUAUUAAUAUAAGCGCUUCAUUAAAAAAAUAUCUAUUCCAGACUUUUUUAUUUUAGGAACAAGUAGAAAGACAAUGAAUGCUAUCGCUCAUUCGCACUUGAUUAAGUAAUUCCAUCGAUUCAAUAUUUAGAACAUUUUUUCCUUCAAGUAAAUAGUAGACAUAUAUUUUUUUCUCGUUCUAGUAACUUGUACACACACAUAUUUUUAACGAACUUGUAGAAAUAUAAUCAAUUUUCACCCACAUUAACGCUUGGUAGAAUAACUCCAUUAUUUCCAUAUUUAAGAAUUUCAGUUUUUUUAUUCCAGAUAAUUUCUUGGUUGAAUAACUCCAUAGACUCCAUUGAUGGAAAUAAAAAAAGGGAGAGGUGUACUGGAGGAAUGUAACGGAUGACUACAACAAAAACAGUUCGUCCACCGGAGAGAAACAACAAAAACUGCAAGGACCAUUGGGGUAAAACUAAUAAGAAAGUUGGUGUUUUCAUUGAGUUUAUUGCAGGCUAAAAGAUGCCCAUGCGAGAGGGCAAUGUGACUUGCAGCUUGUCCAGAAAGCCCUAGCCAUGUACAAGGGGAUAGGACAAAACUUUAAACUAUUGUACUGGUGGGAGAAGGUUGGAGUACACCAAAAGUUGAGUAGACACUCCGAGGAGGAAAAAGGCAAAGGUAAUGCUUACAUACAAACUCAGAUGGGAAAAGAAACUCGCCCGAUCGAACCAAACUGGUGAAAGGAAAAGAGAAAGAAAAGGUCGAAGAUGACGACUCUUUCGUAACACUUACACACGAUGAUGUUCAAUUAUACCAUGACACACAAGCAUUACGAGUAUCGUCGCAAGAAAAAAUGGCAGAGGUACAGCUUCGACUCUCCAAAGAGAAGCUUGAGAUUGGCAAGACAAGAGAGAAGAUCAAAAUGUCUAGUACCUAUAAGGAACUCAUAAUGGUCGGUACCUCUCAUAUGGAUGAAUAUCAAAAGAGUGAACAUCAAUGGACACUAAAAAAAUUUAGUGACCAACUAUUUGGAGGAAACUAAAACAAUCAUAAAUCAUUUUAGCAUAUUAUUUUGAUUUUUUAAUGUGUCACUUUAAUUACCUUUUCCAUUUACUUUAUUGUGUAGAAAAAAUGGUUUACUUUGUUACAUACAUUGGUACUAGAAUACCUAUGUAUCAUGUAAUUUGAGAUUUUUUUAUUCAAUAAUACAGGUUCUCUACCAGUCAAAGCAACAAUGACCACUCAAUUAUUCAUGCAUUAGUAGUAAUUAAUAAUUCAACAUUUACUUGAACCUAUAAAUACUCUACUCUGUUGCACAUUUCACCCCACAUGCAGUAGCCCAAUUUAGUUCCAACUAAUGGAUAUAGGCAAUGCCAACAUCGGAGUCAUACACUUACAAUGAGCAAAGAGAAUAGUCUAUGCCGGUAAAUGCUUGGUUAAAUGUUCCCACUGAUUUUGUUGUUGUCAACGAAAAUGGUGCCCGGGAUUACUGGUUUCAAGUCGCUGGAGAAUUUAACGCAAUUAUUGCCGAUAAUCGCGGAACACAACCUAUCCAAAUCAAACGUCAUUGGGGGUCAACGAUGCAUUCACCGCUACUGGACAAUCUAACCAGGACUUGAUUUCAAAUCUCUUCAAAUGUAUAAGUUAGAAAUGAAUCGACCAUUCAAAUUUCUUAACUUGUGGAUGUCUGUAUGAAAUUGUCCCCAGUGGAAGAAGACGUACUGUCAAGUCAAAUUAGUACUAUAGCAUUAGUGCGUCAAAGUUCAGUUUUGUUCUAAUAAAACAGAGGUUCUAUUUUUCCUAAUGAUGCCAUAAACUAUAAGUGGGAUAAUUUUGAUUAA